UCAGAAUUUGCAUCAGCUGAAUAAUACAACUGAUAUAAGAUUCAUUCACUCAAAGACAAUUCAAGACACAGCAGUAACCCUCAAGGGGUGAAGAGACAAAUGCCAGUGUUUAUCACUAUAUUUGUAUACAUGUGAAGAAUCAGAGUUGCCUAAUGUGCAUGGCUCCCAGCCGUGAUGUGUUCCAGCUCUCACACAGAGAUGAUCAGAGGAUGAGGACAGUAAGGGACAGUGCAGCACAGCAGGAGAAGCCCCAGAUCUGGGGCCAGUCAGACCAGGUUUGAAUCCCAGCUCUGGCACCUGUUAGUGAAUGGCCUCAGGC